UGGUCAGAUAGGAUAAUCCUUACCUGUUCCUCCUUCGGGAGGGCAGAAUAGAAAAUGAUGAUUGGAGCUUGGAUAUAUUACCUUUAUUAUGAU
rnacentral:snoRNA from 1 species